rnacentral:misc_RNA from 1 species
CAGAGCGUGAGGCUCAGUCGCGACAUCUGCCGCGUGCUGGGCCGACCCUCCCACCCGUGUCGAUUUGUAUCUUGUUGCUUUGGCGGGCCGGGUUGCGUCGAUGCUGGCCGCAAGGACAUGCGUCGGCCGCCCACCGGCUUCGGCUGGAGCGCGUCCGCCAGAGACCGAACCAAAACUCAUGUUAUCUUUGCAGUCUAAGCUUUAUUUAUUGAAUUGAUA